GUGGGGAAUCUUCCGCAAUGGACGAAAGUCUGACGGAGCGACGCCGCGUGAGUGAAGAAGGCCUUCGGGUCGUAAAGCUCUGUCAUCAGGGACGAACGGCCGGUGGAGUGGAAAGCCACCGGAUUGACGGUACCUGAGAAGGAAGCCACGGCUAACUACGUGCCAGCAGCCGCGGUAAUACGUAGGUGGCAAGCGUUGUCCGGAAUUAUUGGGCGUAAAGCGCGCGCAGGUGGGAUCUUAAGUCCAUUUUGAAAGUUCGGAGCUCAACUCCGUGAUGGGAUGGAAACUGGGAUUCUUGAGUACCGGAGAGGAAAGCGGAAUUCCCCGUGUAGCGGUGAAAUGCGUAGAUAUGGGGAGGAACACCAGUGGCGAAGGCGGCUUUCUGGACGGUGUCUGACACUGAGGCGCGAAAGCUAGGGGAGCGAACGGGAUUAGAUACCCCGGGUAGUCC
rnacentral:rRNA from 1 species